AGAAGUUUAGAUUCCCCUCAGGAUACUGAAGAAAGCCUGAAUUCGUAAUCCUCAAAGAAAAAAACAUCAAAAGGAAAAUGAAGUUCAAGCUAUUAGUCAUCAGCCUGUUCCUAUUUGUCACUAACACUUAGGGGAUAACUACAACACUGAUGACCUCAGGGUCUAUGACAGACUCGAGUCCCAAGAUGAGCCUGAAUUCUAUGACAACCCCAAAUUCCAAGACAACUUCAAAUCUCCAAACGAUCUCAAAUAUGAAGAUGGCCUCAAAUACCAAGACAA